AAUUACAUUUUAACCAUGUGAAUAAACACAAUAUCAUGUGUCAUGGAAUUAUCCGACAAGUAGUCAGCUAAAAGGAUACUUUUAGAAGGUUGCUUUUUAAUUAUAGUAAUAUAGUUAAAGAAGAUGUAAAAAUCAAUACUGGAUAAUGUGCAAAUGUUAUCGCUUAAUAAAAUACUAGAGUUGUCGUAGCCGUAAUAGACGGACUAGUAGUCAAUAAGCCUAUAACUCAUAUCUAGCAAAUAUGAAGCAAUGUAGGUAAUGCUAAAUAAGGCUAUUUCUCGUGAAUACUCUGAAAAGAGGAUAUAAGACAUAACUAGGUUAAAGUAGCUCAAUUCGAGAUAAAAAAGCAAUGUUAGGAUUGGAAAUUCAAAAACAUUCUGAAUGAUGGGUGAAAUUUAUGGGCAGUCAAUCCCAUACGAGCUUGAAAGGGGCAAGAAGUUAUAAGGUCGCUACUUAUAACUCAGACUUGUUCUCUCGGUGAUUGAAUAAUUAAGAAGAUAAUAAUUUGUAAGGUGAAAGUCUAAAUGUAUUUUAUAU
rnacentral:sRNA from 1 species